rnacentral:lncRNA from 1 species
UAAAAAUUUAGUAAAAAUUUUGAUUGGAAAAAAAUGCAUCGAUGAGGGGGUGUGGGAAAUGGAAAUUAGUGGCUUUUCUGCUGUACUGUCUGCUAGUCAAGUCACACAACACUUUUUUCUAUGCUGCUAGUUUUUGCUCUGGGCUCUGGCUGGAUCUCUUGUUUAAACAAUUUUAAUCAGCUGAAAGUGGCCUACAAAAAAAAACCAAGAAGGAAAUGUAUAGCCUUGUGGCUAUGAAAGGCAAAAGAGAGAUAUAAAAAGUGUAUUGGCUAGUUGGAAGAAAGUCCACAUUGUCCAUGCAUAAUAAGUUAUUACUUUAUCAACAAAUAUCAAGAAGAUAGCAGGGUCACGAGCAACAACUUCAUAAGUUCAAGAAUAUCGAGGAAAUCCAGCUCCUCGAUACUACUGCGCAAACUAGAAGAUUGAAGAGGACAAAGCCUUUUGAACUAGUUUGAGUGAUAGGUGAUAGUGAAAAACGGAGCAUAGUGCUUGUGUGCUGUGCCUGUGUAUGUUAGAAUAGUGCACGAUCUUGUUAGAUUAGAUAAGAGACGCUAUGGGGUAAGCUCUUCAUUUUAAGAAACAGUAGUAAUUUAGGUUAAAUUAAAAUUGCUCAUUGGUCAGUUAUGACCAGAUUGUUUUUUUAUGUUUGGCAAAAAGGACUUAAGUCAGAAUUGCACAUUGAUAAUGUUUUGAUGAUUUCUGGACCAGAAAAAAACUGUUGUAGAUGUAAACUGUAUGCACAGUAGAAUCUACUACAGUACUGUAGAAAUCAUCAAAACAUUAUCGAUGUGCAAUUCUGACUUAAGCCCUUUUUCCCAAACAUCAGAGAAUUGUAAUGUACAAUAAUUCUCCUAUCUGCUUUUUCAUGAAUUUUGUAGGAGAUGAAAAACCAUUUUUAGGAUCAUCUGCUUUCACAUGUAAAUUUUGACAUGUUUUGUAGUAAAUAGAUAGUUGAAUUUACUACAAAACAUGUCAAAAAAUAUAUGAAAACAGGAGGUGACUAUAAAAAAAGUUUUUAGUCUCUCUUACAAAACUCAUGAAAAAACAAAUCGGAGGUAUGUCACAUCAGUGACUAUAUCCAGGGAAUGUCUAAAAAAUAUACUUUGAUGUCCCAAGAACCAAAUAUAACCUACAGUCCAUCUAAUUUACUUACUGUUGCAGGUCAUUAUCUACGCCAGAGAUCUAAGUUGACAUAGUUGCCAAAGUAUAAAAAGAUCCUGAAUCCAUUUUAAAUCAAAUAUAUCACAUAAUUAUUGUAAACGUGGAUUAUACAACAAAACAAAUUAAUAUUCAAUGUAAAUAAGUAAAAACUUAAGAAAUAGAGAACAAGAAUUAAGUUAUAAUCUUUUAAGAUUUGCAGUGCAAGAGUUUUUGCACUGCAUUGUUAAUAAUUAAAAAACGGCUCCGAACUCUUGGCAAAAAGCUGGUAGGUUUCUUUGUAUAAAAUGUCUACAAUAACAACUAAAAAAGUUGUCAGAUACCUCGAUUAUUCCAAGUCGUUAUAAAAUUAGGUGAAAUUUAUAUUUUUAUAGUAGAGGAUCUUUUUAUAGUAAAGUAAAUAAUAAAAACAGUAAAUAUAAUAAAUAAAACAGAUACUUAUAGUAAAGAAUAUAAACAAAUAUGAAGUGUCAUCACCGUAACUGUCAAAUAAAUGUUACCAAUUUAUUCUAAAAUGUCACCUUCGUUCGAUUACAGUUACAGUGUGAUCCAAACAAAUCUGCUUCAUAAAAACGCUUUAUAAUCCAUUUAUACAAAUUAAAUGAAACAUAUUAUUGUGUAUUUCUUUAGGUUAACAUUAAUAGAAAUCUUCAAAUAUUAUUUCUACGCGUAUAUAAUAAAAUAUGUCUAGUGGCUGUAAUUCCAUUGUACUCGGCAAAGUGAUUCUAAAAAAGAACACACCUACCGCCUAAAUAUUUCAGUUAAAAUAAAUAACAGUUAGUAAAUUAGACGAAGUAUGUAGAUAUAUACAGGGUGUAACAAAAAUACAGGUCAUAAAUUUAAUCACAUAUUCUGGGACCAAAAAUAGUUUGAUUGGACCUAACUUACCUUAGUACAAAUGUGCACACAAGAAAAGUUACAGCCCUUUGAAGUUAUAUAUAUAUAUAUUAUAGCACUAAGGGCCUUAGAGGCCCAUGGCUUGAAAAGUUUGUUUUUUUCUUCAUUUUCACGUUUCUUUAUGUACUGAGAUCUUCUCUGGCUUGAUAUGUGAUUUUUCUCCAUUCCUUCCUGUUAUUCAUUUUUCUUUUCUGACCCUGUAGCACCAUUCUUUCCAAAUCUUUUUCGACCUCUUGCUUCCAUCUAUUUUUCGGCCUUCCUCUUCUCUUUCUUGAAGCUGUAGUGUAGUUUAGUACCAUUUUUGGAGUCCUCGUGUUUGGCAUCCUUUCAAUGUGACCUCGCCAUCUAAGUCUCUGUGCCUUUAUCACUCAUUUGAAGUUACAAGAUGAAGUGAUUUUUUCCAAUAUAUCGAAAACUAUUAGAGAUUUUUUAUUGAAAAUGGACAUGUGGCAUUAUUAUGGCAGCAGUAUCUUACGAAAAAACUAUAGUAAAAUUUGGACACCCCAUAAAAAUACUUUGGGGGUUUUGUUCCUUUAAACCCCCCCAAACUUUUGUGCACGUUUCAAUUUAAUUAUUAUUGUAGUACCAUUUAAACACAACGUUUUAAAAACUUUUUUGCCUCUUAUUGCUUUUUCGAAAAGUCAAUUUUUAUCGAAAUAUUUUGAAUAUUUGUCAAAUCCACCACAUAUUUGUAUAUGGUUAAGUACGAUUAUGAAGACUUGGUAAUAAUAUGCAGACUUAUUUAUGCUUUACAUUUUUAGGUAUAUUUUGAACCAUAUUAAAAAAGAAGCCAGAUCUCGAUAAAAUGUGCCUUAUCGAAAAAAUACAAAGAGGCAAAAAAGUUUUAAAAACAUUCUGUUUAACUAAUGGUACCUCAGUAAUAGUUUAAUUGGAACGUACACAAACAUUUGGGGGGUUUAAAGGAACAAAACCCCCAUAAAAUUUUUAUGUAGACAUGUUAAAAAAGAAGUCGCAACUCGAUAAAAACUGCCUUAUCUGAAAAAUACUAAGAAACAAAAAUAUUGAAUUUAACUAAUGGUACCACAAUAAUAAAAUUGAAUUGGAACAUACACAAAAGUUUGGGAGGAUCUAAGGGAUCAAGACCCCCAUAAAAUUUUUAUGGGGUGCACAAAUUUCACCAUAAUUUUUCUGUAAGAUAUUCCUGCCAUAAUACUGCCACAUGUCCAUUUUCAAUAAAAAAUCGCUAAUAGUUUUCGAUAUAAUCGAAAAAAUCGAUUUUCAUUUUGUAAUUUCAAAGGGCUGUAACUUUUUUUAUGUGCAUAUUUGUACUAAGGUAAGUUAGGUUCAUUCGAACUAUUUUUGGUCCCAGAAUAUGUGAUUUAAUUUAUGACGUGUAUUUUUGUUACACCCUGUAUAUACAACCGAUUACCCACCACCUUAAAAAUUGGGCAUUUUUGAUGUCUCGAAUUUCCUAAACCUGUUGUUGCAUCUAAGUGAUUUUUUUAUAAUAUUCUAGCCUAGGCCCUAGGCUAUAGGUUAAGUACCUCCUUAUGCUUGUCAUGCACGGGGAGCUAUACUGUAAUAUAUAUUAUAUCACAUCGCACUCUAUAGUAAUGAGUGAGCCUGCACAUACGGAACCAUUUGUUUCCUGUCUGCAGGCUCACUCAUUACUAUAGAGAGCGAUAUGAUAUAAUGUACAUAUAUUACAGCAUAGCUCCCUGUGCAUGACAAGCUUAAGGAGGUAACCUAUAGCCUAGGCUAUAAUAUUAUAAAAAAAUCACUUAGAUGAAACAACAGGUUUAGGAAAUACGAGACAUCAAAAAUACCCCAUAUUUAAGGUGGUGCGUUAAUUUCUUGGAGAAGUGUAUUGUAAUUUAAUGUAAAUAAUGUAAUAUCCAAUAAUUGUAAUUUAAUAUAAGAUGUAAUAUAAGUUCCUUAAAAAAUAUAUUUUUUAUUUCCCACGACAUUAGAUGGAUGUUCGGCAGCAAGACAUUGGACCAAACUGGGACGUCCUGUGAAGGCCAAUUGACGUCCACCGAACGUCCCUUCGGAUGUUAAGUGGACCUCCAUUGGGCGUUUGGCAACGUGGCAUUUGGACCAAAAUUGGACGUCCUGUUAAGGUCCAAUUCACGUCCCCUAGAACAUCCGGUUAAGGUCCAAUUUACUUCCGAUUAAGGUCCAAUUUACGUCCGAUUAAGGUCCCAUUUACGUCCGAUUAAGGUCCAAUUUACGUCCUAUUAAGGUCCAAUUUACGUCCGGUUAAGGUCCAAUUUACGUCCGAUUAAGGUCCCAUUUACGUCCCAUUAAGGUCCAAUUUACGUCCUCUUAAGGUCCAAUUUACGUCCGAUUAAGGUCCAAUUUACGUCCGAUUAAGGUCCAAUUUAUGUCCGAUUAAGGUCCAAUUUACGUCCGAUUAAGGUCCAAUUUACGUCCGAUUAAGGUCCAAUUUACGUCCGAUUAAGGUCCAAUUUACGUCCCCUAGGACGUCCGAUCAAGGUCCAAAUUACGUCCGAUUAAGGUCCAAUAUACGUCCCCUCGGACCUUAGAUGGACGUCCAAUGGACGUUCGGUAGCGCGACAUUUGGACCAAAAUAGGACGUAUAAAGGACGUUCCUCGGACGAAAACGGAC